AGCAGCCGCGGUAAUUCCAGCUCCAAUAGCGUAUAUUAAAGUUGCUGCAGUUAAAAAGCUCGUAGUUGAAUUUCGGGACCAUCAUGUCGGUCGUGCCUCGGUACGUACUGGUAUUGUUGGUUUCUCCCUUCUGACGAACCAUGAUGUCAUUUAUUUGGUGUUGUGGGGAAUCAGGACUGUUACUUUGAAAAAUUAGAGUGUUUAAAGCAGGCUCACGCUUGAAUACAUUAGCAUGGAAUAAUGAAAUAGGACGUUUGAUUCUAUUUUGUUGGUUUCUAGGAUCGACGUAAUGAUUAAUAGGGAUAGUUGGGGGCAUUAGUAUUCAAUUGUCAGAGGUGAAAUUCUUGGAUUUAUUGAAGACUAACUACUGCGAAAGCAUUUGCCAAGGAUGUUUUCAUUAAUCAAGAACGAAAGUUAGGGGAUCGAAGACGAUCAGAUACCGCCGUAGUC
rnacentral:rRNA from 1 species